rnacentral:rRNA from 1 species
UACGAAGGGGGCUAGCGUUGUUCGGAAUCACUGGGCGUAAAGCGCACGUAGGCGGAUGUGCCAGUCAGGGGUGAAAUCCCGGAGCUCAACUUCGGAACUGCCUCUGAUACAGCACGUCUUGAGUCCGGAAGAGGUGGGUGGAAUUCCUAGUGUAGAGGUGAAAUUCGUAGAUAUUCGCAAGAACACCAGUGGCGAAGGCGGCUCACUGGCCCGAUACUGACGCUGAGGCACGAAAGCGUGGGGAGCAAACAGG